rnacentral:rRNA from 17 species
AGGGUUAGUCGGGACCUAAGGCGAACCCGAAAGGGGUAGUCGAUGGAAAACUGGUUAAUAUUCCAGUACCCGCAAUAACUGCGAUGGGGUGACGAAGUAGUGAAAGCACCGCGCACAGACGGAAUUGUGCGUUAAAGUCCGUAGGUAUAGGUUUAGUAGGCAAAUCCGCUAGACCUGCCGAAGAUGAUAGUACUCAGAUCCUUCGGGUGACGAGAUAGUGUGCCUAAGCAGACUUCCAAGAAAAACCCCUAAGCUUCAGGUUAUUGCGGCUCGUACCGUAAACCGACACAGGUAGGCGAGGAGAGAAUCCUAAGGUGCUCGAGUGAAUCAUGGCUAAGGAACUAGGCAAAAUGGCCUCGUAACUUCGGGAGAAGAGGCGCUUACGUAAGUAAGCCGCAGUGAAUAGGCCCAGGCGACUGUUUAUCAAAAACACAGGACUAUGCUAAAUCGAAAGAUGAUGUAUAUGGUCUGACACCUGCCCGGUGCCGGAAGGUUAAGAGGAGAUGUUAUACUUCGGUAGAAGCAUUGAAUUGAAGCCCCGGUAAACGGCGGC